AUGUUUAUUCUGUUGAUAGCUUAUCAAAUACAGUGCUUCAUAUACGCCCACUCCAUCAGAAGCCAUGCUUCAAAGCUUGAGCAACCACCCGUCAUGCUUGGUGGAGUGAUUUCAAGAAAAACGUCUUCUGUAACCUCAAGAAAAUUGCUUUCAGAAAAACGAAUAUUACAAAUAUGUGGCGUCCAGCAUAGAACAAAGACAGUAGAGGGCCUUUUUUCAAGUGGGGAAAGAUGGCGCAUAAACGACUCUAACAACAAUGAAGCAUCCGGCUUCACGCUUGGAGAACUGGGGACGCUUGCGCGCCUUCUUGAGACCUGCCUUCUUCCUUUCGAUGACACGGGUGUCUCUCGUCAGCAAGCCUUAUGA
rnacentral:rRNA from 1 species